GACACCAUGGCCGAAGGGUUAAGGCGGUGAGUCAGAGUAGGAAAUUGCUACGCUCAUAUUUGCGUCGUUUGUCUCGUUUAUACAGGUUCGAGUCCUGCUGGGUGUCA